AAAGAAUUUAUCCCACCAGCCAAACACCACAUCAUCAGUCAAGCCAAGCUUGUGCAACACUUGAAUGGGAGGGGCAUACACAAUUAAGGAUAGUGAAAACCCAUUUAUCAAUUAUCAUUCAUGUCCUAGACAAGCAAAGCAAGAACUAAAGCUCAAGCCAGCGAACAAGAAGCACUGGGGUUUUGUUCUACCAUCAAGCUUCUGUGUUUAACCUCUGCUAUAUGAUGGAUUCAAAAGCUUAAUGGAGAAUAAGAUAAAUACGGUGUUUGCAAGGUAAAAAAUUGACAGUUACCAGAGUUUCCAACAGAAAUUUAAACAGCGGCCACUACAAAUACUUUAGAUUUUCUCAGCACAUGUAAGUCUCCCUUUGAAUGUUUUCAAUAUGGCCAUAUUAAUGCUAUACAACAGGGUAACGGACCUCAAGAGCAAAAUGAUGAAUGAUAUGAAGAUGAAGAUAAAAAUUUAUGAGAUACAAUAACAAGCUUCACGAAAUCAGUAUCUUCAAAUAGUCAGGAGAAUAUCCAUUAGAUUAAAAAAAAAUUUACAGCACUUAUGUGACCAUUAAAGCUGUUCUGCUGGAGAAACCUCCACAAAAUCCAAACCCCAAAAACAACCAAAACUAAAGCCCCAAGAAUAUAUAGCACUAUGCUUCAUAUCAGAUAAACCAAUCAAAGAUGCUAAAGGAGUUGAAACUAAGCAGUUUUUACUGGCCCUAAAAUUCAUUAGAUUGGUAAAUGAGAACUAGAACUCUCUACUCAUUGCCUUGCAUGGAAGGAACAAUCAUAUGCUGUCCCUGCGCCUGUAAAGAGUUAAGAAACCCAUAAGAAUACAAACCAACAUUACAAACUCAACCCUCUGCCCCCUUUUCUCAAUAGAGAAAAUGGGGAAGAGAGAGGGCCACCUAAUUUAAUUUUCCAUAUUGCUUGUCAGCAUAUAAGUUAUAUGUCGAAUGCAGCUGAAAGCAAAGACAAAAAAUAUAUAUAUUCCUAACUCAAGUAGCCAAAUUCAAUGACAUCCAAAACCUGAUACUGCCAAUGUGUACCACAUUCAUGGACAUGAAGUCAACUAGACCAUUGAAUAUAUCUAUUUUUGUAAAACAGAGAUAACCUCUAACAAAGAUACUUUUAUAAAAAGAAGCAUGCCUUAAGGUUAACAAGAUACCUAAUAGUCCUACAUUUUUAAAUAGAUAUAUUAUACAACAAUUAACAAUUAACAAAAUGCAGUUUGACAAGACGCCGAAAUUAUGCAUCAUAUUUUCAAUCUAAUACAAAAAGUACAUAGGUAUUGUGUAAGACAACUAUAUAAAAACUUGAAAUUAUCUACUUCUUUAAUACAUACAUGUGCUUUUUUUUUUUUACUUUUCUUUUCUUUUUUUAAAAAAUUUUAAAUUAUCAACUAAUCCAUAUAUGUGUUAUCUAUCCAAUAUGCAUCAAUCUCAGAAAUAGAUCAGAAAUCUCUUUCCACAUAAAAAUGUUACGGAUAAAGUCAAGCAAAUAGGAUGUCCACCAUAGCCUUUUUAUUUGAGUCCCUAAGAUUGUUCACUGCAACAUAUUUGGUCUUCAAAGGACAGUUGCUACCACAUGAUUAUCAAGAUAAAAAGUGGGACUAACAUCAGAAAAUUCAGACCACUUUUGGACCAUCUUCAAAUAUAACAAAACAAACAUCAGGCACCCAGUAAAUGACAUCAAUAUUUCUGUCCCAUUAAAAUAGUCUGUCUUGUAGAAGUACUUAAACCCUAAAAGCAACAUUAAUAGGCCAUUCAAACUGGAAGCUGAGUAGGAUAAAAUAUGCAAAGGCCAGGGUUCAUCAGAAAACCUAGAUCACAGCACCAAACUAACAUAUUAGAGAAAGGCAUAAUACCAAGUAAAAUCAAGACAUGGAUUAUAUGCAAAUUAUUAUAUCAUGCAAUGUGAAACAUAAAUAUAUCUGGCUCCGGAGUCUUCAAAUUCCCCAACUUUUACAUAGUUUAGGAAAUGAUUUGUAUAAACAGGAUGCUAGAUAAACUUUCCUUCCUCACUUUGUCCAUAUGUAAUAUGUUUCACUCCAUCUCCCUAUAUAUAUACUGUUGGGAUGUUUUUUGUCAAGAACUAAAAUAUGCCAACUACAUCAUAGAAAAACAAAGCGAUUAAAAAGAAGUUCCAAGUCUUGGUAGGGUAAGGAGAUGGCAAUCCUGUCCAAUCAAUCCACUUACAUCAGCAAGGGCAGUAUCAAUGAGUUCAGCAGAUUAAAACAACGAUCAAAAUCUAAGAAUUUUACUAAUUCAAGCUCCAAGAAGAAGAGGCGAAAACAAGUUAAAGGUUACAAGGGGCUUCUCAUCCACAUGCUUAGGGUUUACCAGACAAGCAUUGUAUUGCCUAGUUCACUAUAUUUAACAAACUUUUCCACAUAAAAGAUCAGACUGAAAAAUAAUUUGGAAGUUGUGAUAAUUUCCUCAGCAGAAGUGUCAUUAGUGGAGCAAGGGCAAGGAACUUUAAAAUCAUCAUAUCGACAAUGAAAACUUUAAUAAACCCAUGGAUUUUCCUCUGAGGAUGGGUCUCCACUGUCCAGAGAAGAUUUGCAGGGGAGAUAAUGAUGAAAGGAGAUAAGAAAAAUACUAAUGAAUACAGCUAGAGGCAUCAUGCCCAUUCUUCCAGAUAUUUAUGAACAAUAGCAAGUAUAUAAAUGUCAAGCAACACCUUUUUAUCUCUCUAAUUAAUUCUAGCUUUAUUGGAAACUAAAUGCAUGCAAACCUAACUUUCCAUUCUAUCCAUAUGCAGUAUUGAUGGCUGACAAGGCUAAUCAUCUCAAUUAUAUGUUACAUAAAACUUGAAGAAUAAGGGGCAUUAGCAUACAAUUGGUGCACUGUUGGAAAACCCUAAGGGAUGAAAGUACUGGAAACGUUUAUGAAACUAUCUUAAGUGCUAAUAAAAGAAAACUAUAAUAUUAAUUAAACCAAUUGAGAAUGAGGGCUUAACCUAUACAAAAUUUUAUGACUCCUGCCAAUUACUACAACAAUUAUAGAAAUCAAGUAUGGAAAAACAUAUCUAUGAGACAGUUCUGCCAAGCCACAACUACAUUUUCCAUCAGCUCUCUACUUUUAUUUUCCUAUGUUUCUCAUGGAGUUCUCAGCUCUCUACCAGUAGCAAUCACAUCAUGCAAAAUAUGCAAAGGAUUUUUGUGAGAGGAAAAAAAAUGCAUGAGAAUGUAAAACCUGAACAGGUUGUCGCCUUUGGGAGAAAGCAAAUGCAAGGCUAUAAGCCAUUCAAACAUCGAAUUAACAAAGGUUACCCUCUUUCUUUCUUUUAUCCCUCUUUUUUCUUUUCUUUUCUUUCAGAGAGAGAGAGCGAGAGAGCGAGAGAAUCACCUGGGAACUAAUGUAAUUCAUUGACCCCUGGAUAGCAAACUGUGGGUUUUGACCAGGCAGACCUCCAAUUGCAUCCCUUUUAGCUGAUCCAUCUCCACCCCUAGCAGAUCCCUUAGUGUCACCCUCCAUCUCCCUGUACCUAGCUAGGUACACCUUAAGCGGUUCAAUAUAGUCCUCAAAGCCUAAUGUUGCCAUUGCCCACAACAAAUCGUCCCCAUUGAUUGUCUUCCUCUUCUCCUUCUGACACUUAUCACUCGCCCUACAGAACAAAAACGCCCAAUCAAAUCACAUAAAAUCAGACCCUAAUUCUUAAAACUAAACCUAAUUUGCAAGGGCACAUAAUGCAUUUCCCAAACAAAAAUCCCAUUGCUGAACAACAAUCACAAAGCACAAAAAAAAAUCCUUAUUUUCAGAAAAAAGAAGUGCAGAAUUUCCAAAAUAGAGAUCCCAUUUUACUAAAUAGCAUCAUCUUAACCAAAAGCCAAAUCACAAAGACAAAAAGCUCUUUUUCAAAAACACCAAUAACCAAACAACAAAGCAAAUUAACUAAAACCUCAGUUUUGGAAAGCAUCUAUACAUCCACAAAGCACAACUCUAGCAUCACACGUACCAAUCAAAAUACAGAAAACAAAAGGCCAUUUCUCAAAUAGUGCUGCUUUCCAGAAGGAACAACUCUCGAUAAUCAAAAUCCAAAAUCUCAACUCUAAGGAUCAGAAAAGAGUAAGAAACGGAAGGAUAAAAAAGGGACAGAGAAAAGGUAAGAGGGUUAUAUAAUCUCAUGUUUGGAAAGGGUGAAUUAAUUAAAGGAUGGGAAUAAUAUAUAUACUUUAUGUUUGAAAAGAGGUGAAGGAGGGAUAAGCUUAAGAAGGUGUAUAAAUAAAACUAUUUAUAUAUUUCAUUUUUCUCUCUUAUCUCUCCUUCAAAACCUCUCAUUCCACCCCAAGUUAGUAGUUGAAACGUAAGAAAAAUUGAGAUUUAAGGGUUAAAGGAAUAUAAAGCUUAUCUUACCUAAGCUUACUCUCCAUUCACUCACAGGUAACAUGUGUAAAAUAGUUACUUACUCUACCUUACCUUCUACCCCUCCCUCACCCGACAGACCCUAAGGACUUACUCGCUGGUAAUAAAACUGAUAAACUCAGAGACGCAUUCCUGGACCGUAUCCUUAGCAUCUUUAGCAAUUUUCCCAUUUGCCGGCAAGGCCUUCUUCAUGAUCCUGCUUAUAUUGGCGAUAGGCAGGUACCUAUCCUGCUCCCUCACUCCAGAGUGCGGGCUCUGCUCACCACCGCUCUCGUGGCUCCCUCCUGCCGGACUUGUUGGGUUAUCCGCCAUGUCACCUAAAUCCCUAUAAUCAAAGACAGAUGUAGCCCAACACACACACGCAUACAAAAUAGUAGAUAGUCGACGCUAAUUACAACGAAUCAAAUUUACAACAAACUUCAUUAAAAUUUCAAACUUCAUGCAGUAUCCACCUAACUAAAACCUCUUUUAAGCAAAAUUUCAUCCCAAAACCUUGGAUCACAUAUUAAAUACACAAACAAGUGAAUUUUUAACAAACUAAUUAAGUAAUCAACUUUUUCCCCCCUUUCACAUUAGUGUUCAUAGUCAAACUUGGCAAGAAUCAAACCCCGAAUUCAACAAAAUAUUACAAACAAGGCAUUCAUACACAUCUACAUAAGAAAAUAAGAAACCCUAAUCUAUGAAAUUGAGGUACAGAGAGAAGAAGAAGGAGAAGAGUAUACCUGACGGAGAAGAGAGAGGAGGGUUAGUUAAAGAGUUUGUAUUUGGCGCGAGAUGGAAGAGAGAGAAAGAGAAGGGAUUGGUGGAAUUGUUAUUAUUGAGAGAGGUGAGAUCUGACGAUGGAGAAGAGAAGUUUGGGUCUGCG
rnacentral:misc_RNA from 1 species